AAAGCUCAAAUUUAAAAUCUGGUGGUUCUUGUAGCCAUCCGAAUUGUAAUUUAGAGAAGUGUUAUCCGCGCUGGACCGUGUACAAGUCUCCUGGAAUGGAGCGUCAUAGAGGGUGAGAAUCCCGUCUUUGACACGGACUACCAGGGCUUUGUGAUGCGCUCUCGAAGAGUCGAGUUGUUUGGGAAUGCAGCUCAAAAUGGGUGGUAAAUUCCAUCUAAAGCUAAAUAUUGGCGAGAAACCGAUAGCGCA
rnacentral:rRNA from 1 species